rnacentral:rRNA from 1 species
GAUGAACGCUGGCGGCGUGCCUAAUACAUGCAAGUCGAGCGAACGGACGAGAAGCUUGCUUCUCUGAUGUUAGCGGCGAACGGGUGAGUAACACGUGGAUAACCUACCUAUAAGACUGGGAUAACUUCGGGAAACCGGAGCUAAUACCGGAUAAUAUUUUGAACCGCAUGGUUCAAAAGUGAAAGACGGUCUUGCUGUCACUUAUAGAUGGAUCCGCGCUGCAUUAGUUAGUUGGUAAGGUAACGGCUUACCAAGGCAACGAUGCAUAGCCGACCUGAGAGGGUGAUCGGCCAGACUGGAACUGAGACACGGUCCAGACUCCUACGGGAGGCAGCAGUAGGGAAUCUUCCGCAAUGGGCGAAAGCCUGACGGAGCAACGCCGCGUGAGUGAUGAAGGUCUUCGGAUCGUAAAACUCUGUUAUUAGGGAAGAACAUAUGUGUAAGUAACUGUGCACAUCUUGACGGUACCUAAUCAGAAAGCCACGGCUAACUACGUG